rnacentral:rRNA from 1 species
AACGUAGGUUCCGAGCGUUGAUCCGGAUUUACUGGGCUGAUAAAGCGCGUUCAGGCGGUUUGGCAAGUUCGGGCAUGAAAUCUCUCGGCUCAACCCGGGGAGAGGUUGUCCGAUACUGUUAGACUUGAGGGCAGUAGAGGGUGGUGGAAUUCCGGGUGUAGUGGUGAAAUGCGUAGAGAUCCGGAGGAACACCAGUGGCGAAAGCGGCCACCUGGACUGCACCUGACGCUGGAAACGCGAAAGCUAGGGGAGCGAACGGGGAUUAAGAAAC